CUUUAGGAGGGGCUUGCGCCAUAUUAGUUAGUUGGUAGGGUAAUGGCCUACCAAGACGAUGAUGUGUAGCUGGACUGAGAGGUUGAACAGCCACAUUGGGACUGAGACACGGCCCAAACUCCUACGGGAGGCAGCAGUAGGGAAUUUUCGGCAAUGGAGGAAACUCUGACCGAGCAACGCCGCGUGAAUGACGAAGUACUUCGGUAUGUAAAGUUCUUUUAUCAAGGAAGAAAAGCAAAUGGCGAACCAUUUGUUUGCCGGUACUUGAUGAAUAAGCCCCGGCUAAUUAUGUGCCAGCAGCCGCGGUAAGACAUAAGGGGCAAGUGUUAUCCGGAAUUAUUGGGCGUAAAGGGUGCGUAGGCGGUCUAGUAAGUCAGUGGUGUAAUGGCAACGCUUAACGUUGUCCGGCUAUUGAAACUGCUAAACUUGAGUUAGAUAGAGGCGAGUGGAAUUCCAUGUGUAGCGGUAAAAUGCGUAAAUAUAUGGAGGAACACCAGAGGCGUAGGCGGCUCGCUGGGUCUUAACUGACGCUGAGGCACGAAAGCGUGGGGAGCAAACAGGAUUAGAUACCCUGGUAGUCCACGCCGUAAACGAUGAGUACUAAGUGUCGGGUUAAACCGGUACUGAAGUUAACACAUUAAGUACUCCGCCUGAGUAGUACGUACGCAAGUAUGAAACUUAAAGGAAUUGACGGGACUCCGCACAAGCGGUGGAUCAUGUUGUUUAAUUCGAAGAUACCCGAAAAACCUUACCAGGUCUUGACAUGUUUUUGCAAAAUGAUAGUAAUAUCGUGGAGGUUACCAGAAACACAGGUGGUGCAUGGUUGUCGUCAGCUCGUGUCGUGAGAUGUUAGGUUAAGUCCUAAAACGAGCGAAACCCUUAUCGUUAGUUGCCAGCACGUUAUGGUGGGGACUUUAACGAGACUGCCAAUGAUAAAUUGGAGGAAGGUGAGGAUCACGUCAAAUCAGCAUGCCCCUUAUGACCUGGGCUACAAACGUGAUACAAUGGCUGUUACAAAGGGUAGCUGAAACGCAAGUUCUUGGCCAAUCCCCAAAAACAGUCCCAGUCCGGAUUGAAGUCUGCAACUAGACUUCAUGAAGUUGG
rnacentral:rRNA from 1 species